UCUGCGCUCCGGAACUGCAUGGACGAGUUUAGAGUGCCCAUGUUGCUCAGCUUCUCAGAGACAUUCAUUCCAGAGUCUUUGCUGAGGUCAGGCAUGGAAAACCGGGACAGGUGCUCCUGGCGCUUGGCGCCACCAUCUGCGGACAGGCCUGGCGGGGCGGGGAGAGAGAAGAGAGGACCGUGGAGGUUAAUACGAGUUGCAGUCGGGUUCAUCUGAACCACCAUCUACCCAGGAUCGCUGCACGCGGCUCUGCAGCUGUACACGGCACAAGAGCUCUCUUGGAAAGCGCGUGGGAGGGCUUUUCCCAUUCCACGCGGGGGGGGGGGGGCGGGGUAGUGUCCACCCAGAGAGGGCACGUGGUUAAAAGGCAUCCAUAGAGAUGCAUUUUACUAGUUGCUAAUUCCUACAAAGGCUCAUCGGAGUUACUAAGGGUCCACUGUGCCUCUUACGCGUGAUGCUUCCUGUGUUUAGAAUUUCUACAAAGGGCUUCAGAUACCUCUUUGAUCUAACGCUGUGCUGUAAGGACGGAGGACAGAUAUUCUGGACGCAGAAGGUUUGAGCUGCAGAGGCUGGGCCAUGCCCAAGCAGUUCCUACCGACGCGGAGCCUCGUAUCUAGUCCCAUGAUACCAGACCGACUCACUUUCCUGUUGGCCUCCAGCAGCUUUCUCCUGCGCCCGCUGUCCCUAAGCCCCAUAUCUCAAAUGUCUGGAACACUAAGUGACUCCCUGGGUGUACACACAGGGAUAUUUAAUCUCUCAGGCUGCUGCGGGAAUGACUGUUCCCAGGGUUUUAAAUGGGCCCCUAACGGCCAGAAGAUGUGAGUGGGGCCCUGGGACACCCCUUCUUUCCCUGGGGAGGCACUUUUAAAACAACACCGUGACCCUAAUGUUUGAGAAAACAGCGGGUACCCCCAGCAACGGCCCUGCAGUUCCUAAGUGCCGUCACUGGCACCACUGAAAUAAAAACUGUUUUACAGAUAGCGGGAGAUUCUUGACUUGAGUAACUUCCAUCUUGCCCAUCCUAAAGCAGCAGUCUCUAAAGAGAUGCUUAAGAGCAGACCAGGUGGUAAAAUCUCAGCAUUUUCCACUCAUUAUCUGUUGGCAGAUGAGCAGUUCUGCCAUUGCUAGAAAACAUGUCUCUGGAUUGCAAUGGCCCAUUAUGACGCCUGCCACUGAUUAUUCUUCCCUACCUGCCGGGACCAACAACUUCCACGUCCCCAACAAAACUAACGGUAUGAACACUUUGAAAAACUACUUAGCAGUAUCUGUUGAAGCUAAAUACAUACGCAUA
rnacentral:lncRNA from 1 species